rnacentral:misc_RNA from 1 species
UUUCCGUAGGUGAACCUGCGGAAGGAUCAUUCAUAAUAAGUGUUUUAUGGCACUUUUUUAAGUCCAUAUCCACCUUGUGUGCAAUGUCAGGGUUGAUUUUUCUCUCGAGAGGAUCAACCCCAAACAUCAACUAUAUCUCAACUCUUUGUCUGAAAAAUAGUAUGAAUAAAACAAUUCAAAAUACAACUUUCAACAACGGAUCUCUUGGCUCUC